AAUCAAUAUAAACAUAAUAAUUAUACAAUAUAAAACAGUGGAUCCAAGAAGUAGAGAGAAGGGAAAAAAACUUGCUACAAAAAUGCUAAAGUUUAUCCUUGUAUUUCAUAGAUUGUAUAGACAUUAGGGCUUGAA